rnacentral:rRNA from 1 species
GACGAACGCUGGCGGCGUGCCUAAUACAUGCAAGUUGAGCGAUGAAGAUUGGUGCUUGCACCAAUUUGAAGAGCAGCGAACGGGUGAGUAACGCGUGGGGAAUCUGCCUUUGAGCGGGGGACAACAUUUGGAAGCGAAUGCUAAUACCGCAUAAUAACUUUAAACAUAAGUUUUAAGUUUGAAAGAUGCAAUUGCAUCACUCAAAGAUGAUCCCGCGUUGUACUAGCUAGUUGGUGAGGUAAAGGCUCACCAAGGCGAUGAUACAUAGCCGACCUGAGAGGGUGAUCGGCCACAUUGGGACUGAGACACGGCCCAAACUCCUACGGGAGGCAGCAGUAGGGAAUCUUCGGCAAUGGACGAAAGUCUGACCGAGCAACGCCGCGUGAGUGAAGAAGGUUUUCGGAUCGUAAAACUCUGUUGGUAGAGAAGAACGUUGGUGAGAGUGGAAAGCUCAUCAAGUGACGGUAACUACCCAGAAAGGGACGGCUAACUACGUG